GGGGAUGUAGCUCAUGUAGUAGAGCGCUCGCUUCGCAUGUGGGAGGUACGCGGUUCGAUUCCCCGGAUCUUCA
rfam:Punica granatum cultivar Dabenzi scaffold410, whole genome shotgun sequence.